GUUGUUGCAGUUAAAAAGCUCGUAGUCGGAUGUCGGGCUCGGGCAAGCUGUCGGCCUUUGGUCGGACGGCAGGCUCGGGUCUUUCUGCCUGAGGAACCCGGUUGCUUUAACGAGCUGCCGGUGGACGCAGGUCGUUUACUUUGAAAAAAUUAGAGUGUUCAAAGCAGGCUAGCGCUUGAAUACAUUAGCAUGGAAUAAUGGAAUAGGACUUUGGUGCUAUUUUGUUGGUUUAUGGGACCGAAGUAAUGAUUAACAGGGACAGUUGGGGCCGUUUAUAUUUCGUUGUCAGAGGUGAAAUUCUUGGAUUUACGAAAGAUAAACUUCUGCGAAAGCAUUCGGCAAGGAUGUUUUCAUUGAUCAAGAACGAGAGUUAGGGGUUCGAAGACGAUCAGAUACCGUCGUAGUCUUAACCAUAAACUUUGCCGACUAGGGAUCAGUGGAUGUCAAUUUGCGACUCCAUUGGCACCUUGUGAGAAAUCAAAGUUUUUGGGUUCCGGGGGGAGUAUGGUCGCAAGGCUGAAACUUAAGGGAAUUGACGGAAGGGCAC
rnacentral:rRNA from 1 species